UAAAAAUAUUGAUCACAAACACAUCACAAACAUGAUGAUGAUAUUGAUCCAGUCCCUGUUGGAGUCAGUGGGAGCAUUUCCAUAGAGCCACUUUGCAUCAGCAGCUCCAUGCUCCAGUGCUCUGGGAGAGUUUAUAGUCCUGAGAGCUGAACACUGGAGGACUGACAGCUGUCCUUCAUCACAACACAAGACACAGAAAUCCUCCUCAUCAGCAACAUGACUCUGAUCUCCGUCCUCAUCUGGACUCUCCUCUGCUGCUGCUUCACAGAGUCCAGAGGUCAGGUCACAGUGACUCAGCCUGGAGCAGUGAGAACCACACUGGGAGGAAGAGUCAACAUCAGCUGUAGAACCAUUCAUAGGGUAGUUGAUGGUGAUGACAUUUCUUGGUACCAACAAAAAAUGGAGGAGUUCCCAAAGACCAGUGUUGAUCAGUGUGUGUCCAGGUCUUUCAGCGGCAGCACCAUGAUGAUGUCUCUGACUCUACUGCUGGCCACCCUGGGGCUCCUUGUUCAGGGUUCAUCAGGUCAAAUCACUGUGACUCAAACUCCUGGAGCUUUGUCUGUUGCUGCAGAACAGACUGUUACUAUCAAAUGUAAAGUUAGUCCCAGUACUAGUUACUGUUUCAGCUGGUACCUUCAGAAACCAGGAGAAGCUCCUAAACUCCUCAUCUACUGCUCUUCAACCCGUCAGUCUGGAGUCUCUGACAGAUUCAAUGGAGCAAAGUCAGGAAACACUGACUUCACUCUGACCAUCAGCAGAGUCCAGGCUGAAGAUGCAGGAGAAUAUUACUGUCAGAGUUUUCAUUACAUCAACAGUCAGUGGGUGUUGACACAGUGA